GCGGAUGUGGCGGAAUGGCAGACGCAGCAGACUCAAAAUCUGCCGGUGGCAACAUCGUGCGGGUUCAAGUCCCGCCAUCCGCA
rnacentral:tRNA from 6 species